rnacentral:rRNA from 1 species
CACGUAGGCACCAAGCGUUGUCCGGAUUUAUUGGGCGUAAAGAGCUCGUAGGCGGUCUGUCGCGUCGGCUGUGAAAUCCCGAGGCUCAACCUCGGGUCUGCAGUCGAUACGGGCAAACUAGAGUAUUGCAGGGGAGACUGGAAUUCCUGGUGUAGCGGUGAAAUGCGCAGAUAUCAGGAGGAACACCGGUGGCGAAGGCGGGUCUCUGGGCAAUAACUGACGCUGAGGAGCGAAAGCGUGGGAGCGAACAGGAUUAGAAACCCUU